ACAAUUCGUUCCCUCUCGAAAGCACUUCUAGUUCAUAUUACUUUUUCAAAUCCUUGUACGACCAGUUUGCGUGGUGCAUAAAAAACUUUUGUGUUAUACCAUUUUCGACUUGGUUCACAUUUUUCUCAAUAUUUAUGUUAUUGUAACGGAUUUCCAAAAUCUGUUGUUUACGCUGAAACUCUACCCAGAGUUCGAUCACUGGAUUGUCAAAUAAAAGUCACAAUUUAAUGGAAAUACUCUAAACUUUAUUUCUAAUUCCUUAUAACGUAACACUUUAUUACUUAUUACUAUACCCAGCAAGUCAUGGGGACUGAAACUCCAAUACAUUCAAAGAAAUUUUAAUAACACGACUACAUACACACAUAUGCAACAAAGGGCGAAAUGUACAUAAAAAUUUACCUCAACUCUUCUUUCGUACAGCACCAAGAAUGAUGGAAAGAAACAACCAAAGUUCUCGUGUUUGAACAAGUUUUGUUUUGAGCUAUAUCAUGGCUGCUUGUAAAGUAUUAUUUUGCGUGUUUUAUUUAAUUCAGUGAUCUGCAGCCUAAUUAAAGUUUAAAUUAUUGAAGCACGCAUUUUUAAAUAAGUAAAACGUACAAUAAAAGUUUUCUAAGGCCAAAAUAUGGAAUUGAAGAGGGUGAUACAGUAAUACUUUAUUGCACUAUCAAUUCGAAGCACGCAAUAGAAGCUACGCCAACAAUGGUCAACAUCAAUGGCGAAACCAUAGAAUUUACGUAUUCAAUUGUAUAUAAUUGUUGAAUAUAAUCUUGUCUAUUCUAAUUAAUUUUCCAUACAGAUAUUUCAAACAUCAUGUAGCGCGUUAAAGGUACGCAAACUUAUUGAUGUCACUUAUGGUAGCAGCGUAGAACUUUCGAAGCGAUGGAAUAUGUGCUGCAAGCAAAUCCAGAACUAUGGAAGCAAACGCUGCUACAUCGAACACAAAUCAUUUACACACCAGAUAUUAGGUUUAAUGCCACUUUUUUACGUGCAAUUAAACCUUUUGGUAAACACAAUCACGUGAAGAAUUGGAACGACAUGGUUUAGAUGAUUUUAAAACCGUUUAUCAUCGUGACGUGUGUCAAAUGGGCUUUGCCAAUGAGCUAGAGGGCAAAGCAGAUGCAGUAUUUAUGCACUUACCGGCACCUCAGUUGGCCAUACCAGCAACUGAAACAUAGAAACCAGAGGGAGGACUUUUUUGAUUAAUUUUCACCUUGUAUUGAGGAAUCAUAACGUUGUUGUAUUGUUUUACAAGGACAUGGAUUCACCGAAAUUAGUUCAAUGGAAAUACUACAGGAAGAGCAUGGAUGUUAUGACCAGGAAGUAGCCCAUGCUAUAUUUAGAAUUCCUGAAACAUAAGAAACCCUCCUCCCAGAAUCUAGUACUAAUGAAAUUAAUGAAAGAACAGAUCUUCCAAAUCUCCUAAAAAACCAAAAGAGUCCUCACAUAAUGUGCGCAGUUUACACUUCCAGGCCGCUCGAGGUAUUUGACAUUUGCCACUCUUCCUCCAGCCUUUGUCAGAUAGCAAAAAUUGUUCAAAUAUUCAAUACGUUUACAAAUGUAUAUAGUGAAGUACGAUAAUACAUUUAUAGUAAAUAGAAGUAAAUAUAAUAAUAAACACCUAAAUGGCAUGAUAUUUUAAAUAAAUAUGAAAUAUAAUUAAUGAUUUUGUUAUUAAAUUCUCAUUUGAGAUUUUGGUAGAACUAACCGAAAAUAGCGGGUAUAGUUUCUGGGCUUUUGUGGGUCGCAGUACUGAAAGUGCACGUGGAGUUUUGGUUCGCAGUUUUGGGUCUUUCAUCCGUGAUUGUACCAAUACCAUUCCCCAAAUUGUGCAAGAGGUAUAUAUACAUUGCUAA